rnacentral:rRNA from 1 species
AGGGCUUGCCCUGGGGCAGAGCCGCGAACGGGUGAGUAACACGUGGGUUACCUGCCCUGAUGACCGGGACAACCCGUCGAAAGACGGGCUAAUACCGGAUGUGCCCGCAAGGGGAAAGGAGGCGUAAGCUUCCGCAUCGGGAUGGGCCCGCGGAGCAUUAGCUUGUUGGUGAGGUAAAAGCUCACCAAGGCUUCGAUGCUUAGCUGGUCUGAGAGGACGAUCAGCCACACUGGGACUGAGACACGGCCCAGACUCCUACGGGAGGCAGCAGUGGGGAAUCUUGCGCAAUGCACGAAAGUGUGACGCAGCAACGCCGCGUGCGGGAAGACGGCCUUCGGGUUGUAAACCGCUUUCAGUUGGGACGAAGGUUCUGUGGUUAAUACCCGCAUGGAUUGACGGUACCUUCAGAAGAAGCCCCGGCUAACUACGUGCCAGCAGCCGCGGUAAUACGUAGGGGGCAAGCGUUGUCCGGAAUCAUUGGGCGUAAAGCGCGUGUAGGCGGCUGAGCAAGUCUGUUCUGAAAGCCCGAGGCUCAACCUCGGGAGGCGAAUGGAUACUGCUCAGCUCGAGUCCGGAAGAGGAGUGUGGAAUUCCUGGUGU